UGCCCAGGCAGGUUUGUGACCUACAUUGAUAUUCAGGCUUCCUACAGAUACAAACCCGAUCAGUGGAAUUACUUGAAGCAGUUCUGCAGACCUGGUUUUAAGAGUCCUCACAAGUCUGUUGCUCAAGCUCUACGUGAUGAAGAUUGUCCUUUGAUGAUCAUUCCAAGCAGGCCUUACAGCCAUCCAUGGACACUUGGAGUGUGAUUGGGUCAAGCUGAGCUCUUUCUUGCUCUUGAAUCAUUACUGAUAAGAAGUGGUUUACGGUGCAAACUGUUCCUUCCAAAACAUGUGAGCACCCAACCAAACCCAAGCCAACCUGUUGGCAGGAAGG